rnacentral:rRNA from 1 species
GAUGAACGCUGGCGGCGUGCCUAAUACAUGCAAGUCGAGCGAACGGACGAGAAGCUUGCUUCUCUGAUGUUAGCGGCGGACGGGUGAGUAACACGUGGAUAACCUACCUAUACGACUGGGAUAACUUCGGGAAACCGUAGCUAAUACCGGAUAAUAUUUUGAACCGCAUGGUUCAAAAGUGAAAGACGGUCUUGCUGUCACUUAUAGAUGGAUCCGCGCUGCAUUAGCUAGUUGGUAAGGUAACGGCUUACCAAGGCAACGAUGCAUAGCCGACCUGAGAGGGUGAUCGGCCACACUGGAACUGAGACACGGUCCAGACUCCUACGGGAGGCAGCAGUAGGGAAUCUUCCGCAAUGGGCGGAAGCCUGACGGAGCAACGCCGCGUGAGUGAUGAAGGUCUUCGGAUCGUAAAACUCUGUUAUUAGGGAAGAACAUAUGUGUAAGUAACUGUGCACAUCUUGACGGUACCUAAUCAGAAAGCCACGGCUAACUACGUG